GCUACACGUCUCAAGUAACGUGCAGGCAACAAAAUCUGCCAUAAUCGUUCCUGAGCACAGCAGUGCUGGUAGAAAAUGCUACUAAAAGUUAAAAUAGCCAACGUCCAAAAGUUUGUUCGAGUUCCAGAGCUGAAUCUGAGAGCAUUUCUGAAUGCAGCAUUUAUUAAGUUUGGUGUUUCCCCUGUGACAGAAGGUGUGCGCAUCCUUGACAGUUUCGGAACUGAGCUUGAUGAGGAGGUUUUCGAGGAUGUGGUAAAAGAUCCUCAAACCGGUGUUCUGACCAUCACAUAUGAUACCGGUUUGUAUUGUGUGUAAAACAUGACUUGAUCUUGCUUUGGUAACUCUUGAAUUGUUUUUAAGUCACUGAUGGUCUCAGAAUACAGUAUGUUUUUUAAUGGUUGUU